GAUGAACGCUGGCGGCGUGCCUAAUACAUGCAAGUCGAGCGAACGGACGAGAAGCUUGCUUCUCUGAUGUUAGCGGCGGACGGGUGAGUAACACGUGGAUAACCUACCUAUAAGACUGGGAUAACUUCGGGAAACCGGAGCUAAUACCGGAUGAUAUUUUGAACCGCAUGGUUCAAAAGUGAAAGACGGUCUUGCUGUCACUUAUAGAUGGAUCCGCGCUGCAUUAGCUAGUUGGUAAGGUAACGGCUUACCAAGGCAACGAUGCAUAGCCGACCUGAGAGGGUGAUCGCCCACCUUGGACCUGGGACACGGUCCAGACCCCUACGGGAGGCAACAGUAGGGAAUCUUCCGCAAUGGGCGAAAGCCUGAGGGAGCAACGCCGCGUGGGUGAUAAAGGUCUUCGGCUCGUAAAACUCUGUUAUUAGGGAAGAAAAUAUGUGUAAGUAACUGUGCACAUCUUGGCGGUACCUAAUCAGAAAGCCACGGCUAACUCCGU
rnacentral:rRNA from 1 species